ensembl:lncRNA novel transcript
UUGUCACCCAGGCUGGAGUGCAGUGUGAGACCCUGACUAAAGAGAAAAAAAUUAAUAAAAUGUUAUUUCAUAAGAACAAAAAACACAUUUUUAAAUCAAAUACCUAUGUAAAGAAAUUAUUGAUAUUUACAUAGUAUAUAUGGUCUAUAUUCCUUUUUUUAAAGCUACAUAUAGGUCUUGAAAUAAUUCAAAUCCAUUACAAUUAUCGAAAAUACAAGUAAAAAAUAAAAUAUUUUUAUAUUAAUUAAAAGAUUGGUAAAGUUUUAAAAUCUCUUAGCAACAUAAAAUUAGAAUUCCUGGCUAAUGGUUCAUCUUCUUAAUAUUCAAACCCAUCACAUUUAUUAAGACAAAUUAUUAAAUGAGAUGACUGGUAUCUAUUCAUAAUAUUAAGUAAGUCAUUGUUUAAAAUUUGAAAACUGAAAGAAAAUAAAUAAGUUUCUGAGUCAGGCAUGGUGGCUCACACCUGUAAUCCCAGCUACUUGGGAGGUUGAGGCAGGAGGAUUGUUUGAGGCCAGGAAUUCUAGGUUGCAAUGAGCUAAGAUGGUGCCACAGCACUCCAGCCUGGUUGACUGAGCAAGACCUCAUUUCUAUAAAUAAGUAAAAUAAAUUCAUUUCUCAUACGCAACACCUCAAGAUUCUAACUGUAAAUCAAAAUAAGAUAUCAAUUUCAUUUUAAAAUGUUUGACUUAUUUUAAGUUACAUUAUUUUGGUUAAAUAAUACAGUUUAUAUUGUAUAAAUUUUGUGAUAUAUAAGUCUACCUUUUUUUGGUGCCAAAACAGAAGUGAUAUAACUUUAUAUACCAUCUUCAAACUUAAUGAGAAUAAGCCUAUAUAACCUAGCAACUAAUUUUAAAUAAUACUAAGCCCCAUCUUAAGCCUGGUUUUCAAUUUUAACAUCUGAUUAAUUUCUUCCAAAAUUUAUACAUAAAAUAUUCUGGGAAAAAAGUAUAAAAUGUCUAACUAUUCCUAUUGUGUAAUUACUACUCUGAAGUUAGCUGUGCCAAUUUUCAAGGUUUCCUUCAUAAGUAAGGGAGUGUAAUGUAUAAAAGCCAUAGUAAAAUAUAAUUUCCCAGUCUGAAGCAGAUAUGUUUCUGAAAACACUGAGAUAAGAAAACGAUUAGGAUUUAAGUUGUGAAGGGAAAAAAAAUAGUUUUAGGCAGAACCCUAAGAAGACAGUUUUUAGAUUCACUAAAAUGAAGAUUGUAUUAAAUAAAGAGGAUAAGAGUAAAUUUAAUUAGUAAUAAUAAAUACUAUAUGAUUUACAAUUCCUUGAUCACUAGAAAUUUUUCAGGAUCUCCCAUUUUCAUAGCUUCAAUAAAAUGCUUGCAAAUUCAUUUUUGGUUUGUUAAACAUAAUAGGCACAUCAAGAAGGCGAUUUUUAAAAAGUCUAACCUCAUUCCUAAUGUUUAAACUUUUCAGAUCUUAUGAUUUUCAGUUAACCUCAUCUCUCUCUUUUUUUUUUUUUUUGAGAUGGAGUCUCACUCUGUCACCCAGGCUGGAGUGCAGUGGCUCCAUCUCAGCUCACUGCUACCUCCACUUCCCAGGUUCAUGUGAUUCUCCUUCCUCAGCCUCCCAAGUAGCAGGGAUUACAGGCACCUGCCACCACGCCUGGCUAAUUUUUGUAUUUUUAGGAGAGACGGGGUUUUGCAAUGUUAGCCAGGCUGAUCUCGAAGGCCUGACCUCAAGUGAUCUGCCCACGUCGGGCUCCCAAAGUGCUGGGAUUACAGGCGUGAGCCAUUGAUCCGGCCAAUCUCAUUUCUUGAACCUCUUCAUCCCCAGUCACAGAGAUGCAAAA